UUUGAGUGAUUGUUCAAUACCUAACCCACUAGGAAAUUGAGUAGAUGAUUCAUCCCUAAAAUCACAGAAAUUCACAUCCUUGCCGUGCAUCCUUGUUGCUUUCCACCAGAAAUUUGAGUGAUGAUGCAAUGCCUAACUCACCAUGACAUUUGAGUGGAUGAUUCAUCCCCAACUCAACAGAAAAUGAGUAGAUUGUGCACAGAAAUUGAGUGGAUGAUUCAAGACCUAACCCACCAUUAUUCUCCACUUCAAUGCCGUGUGUCACCUACUUGUUUUCCACCAGAAAAUUGAAUUAAACAAGUCCAUCCUCUCCCUAUAAAUACCCAUGGCAGCAGCCUCAUUGAAGGCAUCCAGAAAUUAACCAUUCUCCAAGCCUUGCCUUGCCUCUCCCUACAUAUCUAAACUCCUUCCCAUCCAUUCCUCCACAUAACCAACCCUUCAAAACAUCACUCCAACCUUGUGUUGCAGCAAAGAAGAAGAGGAAAGUUCUUGUACGUGCUUGCUAUCCAACAUGGAUCGUUGGAACGUUUAGGUGUUUUCUUUCUUUUUAUAAUUCUGUUUAUCUUUGUUUUGUGAACAUGAGGAACUAAACCCCUAUUUAGUUAGGGGGAAGUUUGAAGCCAUGAACAUGCU
rnacentral:lncRNA from 1 species